rnacentral:rRNA from 1 species
AUUGAACGCUGGCGGCAUGCCUUACACAUGCAAGUCGAACGGUAACAGGUCUUCGGAUGCUGACGAGUGGCGAACGGGUGAGUAAUACAUCGGAACGUGCCCGAUCGUGGGGGAUAACGAGGCGAAAGCUUUGCUAAUACCGCAUACGAUCUACGGAUGAAAGCGGGGGAUCUUCGGACCUCGCGCGGCCGGAGCGGCCGAUGGCAGAUUAGGUAGUUGGUGGGAUAAAAGCUUACCAAGCCGACGAUCUGUAGCUGGUCUGAGAGGAUGAUCAGCCACACUGGGACUGAGAGACGGCCCAGACUCCGACGGGAGGCAGCAGUGGGGAAGUUUGGACAAUGGGCGAAAGCCUGAUCCAGCCAUGCCGCGUGCAGGAGGAAGGCGUUCGGGUUGUAAACUGCUUUUGUACGGAACGAAAAGCCUCUUUCUAAUAAAGAGGGGUAAUGACGGUACCGUAAGAAUAAGCACCGGCUAACUACGUGCCAGCAGCCGCCGUAAGAC